CUUCAUCUUCUUCAACCCAUCCCUUCUACUGAAAUCCACCGGUAGACCAUAACCAACAAAUUGAUCAAAAAUAAUAGAAUAGAACAUAUAACCAAAAAUUAAUAGACCAAAACCAACCCAUAAUUAUGUAAAUAUUUUGACAUCAAUUUAAGAAGCAAUCAACAAGUGGGUUUCUUCCAAAUAACUAAUCGUAGAAUUCCUUGAUUUCCUCAUUUAUCUAUCAAAUGAAGCGGCAAUUCGAUGGCGGAGAACCUAAUACUGCUAAUUUCGCCGGCGACCGUGAGCUGAUGAAGAUGAUGAAGCAAGUUAUAGAGUCCGAGGAAGAGAAGAAGCUGCCUAGUAAGAUUGAAGCGGCAAUUUGAUGAUGGAGAAACCAACUGCUCAACCUCUGCCGGAGAUGGUAAUUGUGGUGGUGAUGAAAACUUGUGUUUUCCCUGUCAUGGAAGGUGAAGAUGAGUGAAGAUGAAGAAGAUAAUUGGGCACAAUAUGAAAGAAGAAAGAUUGCAGAAAAUUUUUAGUUAACUCGAUUUUCUGGCCAAAAAGUUUCCGGUGAUGUAACUUCCUUCUCUAAUGGAGAAUAUAAUUGGGGCAGCACAGAAGAUGGAGGAAAUUGGAGAAGGUGGUGGGGUCCAUAUCGAAUUAUGAAGAGAAAAAAAACCUAAUUUUCAAGAUUUUCAUGCGCUUAGGUGUAGAUGUAACACAUAAAAUUUGCCCUAUCAGUAAAAAGAAUUUAAGAGAAUAUACUUCUACUAAGUAGAAAUGUUUGAUUAGUCAUAUAAUAAGUUAAAAUGUUCAACUGAAU
rnacentral:lncRNA from 1 species